UGUAUGUAUUUGGGUAUAAGUUAUCUUUCUUGUUUUUGUAACUUGUUUUGUUCCCUUCCACAGUUUUAUCAACAGACUUCAGUGUAGGAAGUGACAUCACCAUGUCUCCAGAGGAGCGUGUGCCAAUGCGCCGGGUUAGCAUGCGUGAACCUGAUCGACAUCAUGAAAGAACUUGUUUCUUAUUGGCUCCCAGUGACUACACCUGCACUGCAGAGUCCAACAUCCACAAAACAGCUGCCAUGAAACCUCUGGCUGAGGUUCAGCUAAUAACGGCCAGAGCCGGGGAAGGAGGGGCCAGCACGGACUCGGAUGGAUUCGACGAUCUGGAUUGGACAGUGUGGAAUAGAAUAACCCUGUGAUUGGACGUUGUGGACCUGAUAUGUCUGUGAUUGGACAAUAUGAAAUAGAAAAAAAAAAGACUGGUUAACAGUCUGAAAAUUAAAUCGUCCUGUUAUUGGACAGUGUGGAGUAGAAUCACACGUGAUUGGACAGUGUUGAGUAGAAAAACCCUGUCAAUGAACAGUGUUAAAUAACCCUGUGAUCGGACAGUGUGAAGUAGACCACUUGUGAUUGGACAGUGUGGAGUAGACUCACUUGUUAUUGGACAAUGUUGAGUCAAACAAUUCUGUAACUGGACAGUUUAAAAUGGACAAAGAUGUGUGAUUGGACACUGUGGAUAUAACGCUUUGAUUGGACAAUGGAAAACCUAGGAGGAAGAUGAAUUGGACCAUACAUAAGUAAGGUAACCCUGUGAUUGGACAGUUUUGGGAGUACAUGAGUAAGGUAACUCUGUGAUUGGACAGUUUUUGGAUUACACGCUGUUGUACAGGCUGGGACAGUGCUAAUGCUAAUGCCCCCCGCCUUUCUGGACUCCACCCCUCAGCCUCCACUUCCUCACCGGAGAGCAGCAGGUAGCGCUCAUCACACGCCUCCCUAAGCCCCGCCCAGUGUGGUGAUGGUCCUGGCAAUAAGUGUAGAAGUUGUGUAGAAGAAGUCGUGGAGUUCCUGUGGAGCAUCUUUAGAACUGCCCCGUAAUAAAUGUGACCUACUGUCAUCA
rnacentral:lncRNA from 1 species